CAAUAGCGUAUAUUUAAGUUGUUGCAGUUAAAAAGCUCGUAGUUGGAUUUCGGUUAAGAGCGACCGGUCCGCCGUUUGGUGUGCACUGGUUGGUUUUAACUUCCUGUAGAGGACGUGCUCUGGGUUUAACGACCUGGACUCGGAGUCUACGUGGUUACUUUGAAAAAAUUAGAGUGUUCAAAGCGGGCUUACGCUUGAAUAUUUCAGCAUGGAAUAACACUAUAGGACUCCUGUCCUAUUUCGUUGGUCUCGGGACGGGAGUAAUGAUUAAGAGGAACAGUUGGGGGCAUUCGUAUUUCAUUGUCAGGGGUGAAAUUCUUGGAUUUAUGAAAGACGAACUUCUGCGAAAGCAUUUGCCAAGGAUGUUUUCAUUA
rnacentral:rRNA from 1 species